UGUUUUUGCUUACUUUACUUCUGGAGUCUCUCAAAUUCUUAAAUUAUAAUUAUGCAGGUGGCAACGCAAUCUAAUACAAACUUUCAUGUACUGGCAGCUAUUGAAGCUCAUGUACCAUGCCCCUGUUACUGCUAGUUACCACAACAAUGUAUGGGCUGAGAUUGGGAGGAUUGUCAAUCCGCUCGUCCACCGCUACGCCCCAUUCUUGAAUACUCCAAUUUCUGCUGCCCAGAGAUGGUGGUUCAGGUAGAUGAAGGUAGCCUCAAAGAGAAAGGGAAGGGGAAGGGGAAGGGGAAGGGGCCAAAAAAAGUAUUCCACCUGGGCAUCACUUGAGAACUUUUUAUCUAGAAAGAAUUAACUUAUGUGUCUCACAAAUCUUUCAUUAUGGUUAUAGCUGGAACUGAGGUAAUGUUUGUGCCCACGCAUGAAAUGUAAAACACAUGUAUGGAUUAAUUUCCUGAAAUGAAUAUCUAAGUUUUGAUUGUGACAUGAAA